rnacentral:lncRNA from 1 species
UCCAUUUCAUUUCAAAAAACCAUAUCUCACUCAUUAUUGGUCCAAAAAUUAUGGGACCAAUUCCAUUCUUCUCCUUUUAAUUUCUACUUUCUAAAAAUGAUUUUUAAUAUUUUUUAUUUUGUCAUUUGAUAUUUUUUAGUAAUUUUCUCUUUUCUGGUUAUUGUUAAUUCAUUUAAAAUAGUUUUUGAUAUUCAAAAAAUACAAAAAUAUUUUUCCAACCUCUUUGAAUGAUGAUAGAUCUAUGAAAAAUAU